CUGACCUCGAUCAGUAGACCA
rnacentral:rRNA from 1 species